UCCCAGACUCCUACGGGAGGCAGCAGUGAGGAAUAUUGGUCAAUGGGCGAGAGCCUGAACCAGCCAAGUCGCGUGAGGGAGUACUGCCCUAUGGGUUGUAAACCUCUUUUGUCGGGGAGCAAAAGCCGGACGUGUCCGGCUGUGAGAGUACCCGAAGAAAAAGCAUCGGCUAGCUCCGUGCCAGCAGCCGCGGUAAUACGGGGGAUGCGAGCGUUAUCCGGAUUUAUUGGGUUUAAAGGGUGCGUAGGCGGCGCUUCAGGUCAGCGGUGAAAUACCGGGGCUCAACCCCGGGGCUGCCGUUGAAACCGGAGCGCUAGAAUUCCGAUGCCGUCGGAGGAAUGUGUGGCGUAGCGGUGAAAUGCAUAGAUAUCACACAGAACACCGAUUGCGAAGGCAUCUGACGAAUCGGAGAUUGACGCUGAUGCACGAAAGCGUGGUUAUCGAACAGGAUUAGAUACCCCUGUAA
rnacentral:rRNA from 1 species